GGCUGGGUGGAGUGCAGUGGUGUUUGUAACUGAUCACAACCAGUUCGGAUUCCUUUGUUCUUCCUCCACGCCCACUGCUUCACUGGACUAGCCUAAA
ensembl:misc_RNA Y_RNA Y RNA